AUUGAACGCUGGCGGCAUGCCUUACACAUGCAAGUCGAACGGCAGCGCGGGUGCUUGCACCUGGUGGCGAGUGGCGAACGGGUGAGUAAUAUAUCGGAACGUACCUUAUUGUGGGGGAUAACGCAGCGAAAGCUGUGCUAAUACCGCAUAAUCCCUAAGGGGGAAAGCGGGGGACCGCAAGGCCUCGCGCAAUUAGAGCGGCCGAUACCUGAUUAGCUAGUUGGUGAGGUAAAGGCUCACCAAGGCAACGAUCAGUAGCUGGUCUGAGAGGACGAUCAGCCACACUGGGACUGAGACACGGCCCAGACUCCUACGGGAGGCAGCAGUGGGGAAUUUUGGACAAUGGGGGCAACCCUGAUCCAGCAAUGCCGCGUGAGUGAAGAAGGCCUUCGGGUUGUAAAGCUCUUUUGUCAGGGAAGCAACAGCAGCUCUAACACAGUAUGCGAAUGACGGUACCUGAAGAAUAAGCACCGGCUAACUACGUGCCAGCCGCCGCCGUAACAC
rnacentral:rRNA from 1 species